rnacentral:rRNA from 1 species
AUACGUAGGGAGCGAGCGUUGUCCGGAAUUACUGGGUGUAAAGGGCGUGUAGGCGGGCUGUCAAGUCAGAUGUGAAAUUCCCGGGCUUAACCUGGGCGCUGCAUUUGAAACUGUAAAGCUAGAGUGCAGGAGAGGUAAGUGGAAUUCCUAGUGUAGCGGUGAAAUGCAUAGAUAUUAGGAGGAACACCAGUGGCGAAGGCGACUUACUGGACUGUAACUGACGCUGAAGCACGAAAGCGUGGGGAGC